rnacentral:rRNA from 1 species
UACGUAGGGUGCAAGCGUUGUCCGGAAUUAUUGGGCGUAAAGAGCUCGUAGGCGGUUUGUCGCGUCUGCUGUGAAACCCGAGGCUCAACCUCGGGCCUGCAGUGGGUACGGGCAGACUAGAGUGCGGUAGGGGAGAUUGGAAUUCCUGGUGUAGCAGUGAAAUGCGUAGAUAUCAGGAGGAACACCGAUGGCGAAGGCAGGUCUCUGGGCUGACACUGACGCUCAUGCACGAAAGCAUGGGGAGCAAACAGG